rnacentral:tRNA from 1 species
CAGGGAGACAACAAUUGAUUAUGAUGUCUAAAUUUUAAGUUUUAGGCCGUAAUCCUGUCACCUUAGGUCGAUCGGUACCUCAGAGUAAUUUCUAAAAGAAAGAUGAGUAAUCUAUUUAAUUUUAGUUUUUAUUUUCAGUUUCUAAACUUGUCUAGGUCACACCCAACAAAUAUUCUCCUGGGCUAUUAGCUCAGGCGGUUAGAGCGCACCCCUGAUAAGGGUGAGGUCCCUGGUUCAAGUCCAGGAUGGCCCAUUCGUUGUUGGGGGUAUAGCUCAGUUGGUAGAGCGCCUGCUUUGCAAGCAGGAUGUCAGCGGUUCGAGUCCGCUUACCUCCACUGAUCAACUGCCUGAUAACUCAAAUAGGAGAUUAUUGUUUGGUUAAUGUGAUUUAGAGUUGUUCGUUGAAUGAACCUAGCUUCCUAUCAUUCCUUUUUAUGGCCGAUAAGACGCUGGGCUCAACUAAUAUUCUUUUGAUUAUUAGUUUGAUUCAGCAGAACCUUGACAACUGCAUAUGAAAAGUCUGGAAAGAAUAAAGCAUCUCAUAGAUGCAUUGAAAUCUGGUUAUUGAGUUUUACUUAAUUACUUUAGGUUUUGAUGUUUAAUUCUUGAGUUAGAGCAUAAUUACUAGCAUUUUAAAUGUCUUGGUGAUUAUUAAU